UGCAGUCGAGCGCACCUUCGGGUGAGCGGCGGACGGGUUAGUAACGCGUGGGAACAUACCCUUCACUACGGAAUAGCCUCGGGAAACUGAGAGUAAUACCGUAUACGUCCUCCGGGAGAAAGAUUUAUCGGUGAAGGAUUGGCCCGCGUUAGAUUAGAUAGUUGGUGGGGGUAACGGCCUACCAAGUCUACGAUCUAUAGCUGGUUUGAGAGGAUGAUCAGCAACACUGGGGACUGAGACACGGCCCAGACUCCUACGGGAGGGAGCAGUGGGGGAAUCUUAGACAAUGGGCGAAAGCCUGAUCUAGCGAUGCCGCGUGGAGUGACGAAGGCCUUAGGGUCGUAAAGCUCUUUUCGCCAGGGAUGAUAAUGACAGUACCUGGUAAAGAAACCCCGGCUAACUCCGUGCCAGCAGCCGCGGUAAUACG
rnacentral:rRNA from 1 species